rnacentral:rRNA from 1 species
CAAACGGGUGAGUAUAAUGUGGGUAUCUGCCUUUUGGUUUGGAAUAACACGAGGAAACUUGUGCUAAUACCGAAUAAGCCUUCACAGGGAAAGUUUUAUACGCCGAAAGAUGAGCCCGCACUUGAUUAGUUAGUUGGUGAGGUAAAAGCUCACCAAGACAAUGAUCAAUAGCUGGUCUGAGAGGACGAUCAGCCACAUUGGGACUGAGACACGGCCCAGACUCCUACGGGAGGCAGCAGUAAGGAAUCUUGCACAAUGGGGGAAACCCUGAUGCAGCGAUGCCGCGUGAGUGAAGAAGGCCCUUGGGUUGUAAAACUCUUUCGUCGGGGAAGAAAAUGACUGUACCCGAAUAAGAAGGUCCGGCUAACUUCGUGCCAGCAGCCGCGGUAAUACGAAGGGACCUAGCGUAGUUCGGAAUUACUGGGCUUAAAGAGCUCGUAGGUGGUUAAAAAAGUUGAUGGUGAAAUCCCAAGGCUCAACCUUGGAACUGCCAUCAAAACUUUUUAGCUAGAGUGUGAUAGAGGAAAGUGGAAUUUCUAGUGUAGAGGUGAAAUUCGUAGAUAUUAGAAAGAACACCAAAUGCGAAGGCAACUUUCUGGGUCACUACUGACACUGAGGAGCGAAAGCAUGGGUAGCGAAGAGGAUUAGAUACCCUCGUAGUCCAUGCCGUAAACGAUGUGUGCUAGACGUUGGAAAUAUAUUUUUCAGUGUCGCAGCGAAAGCAUUAAGCACACCGCCUGGGGAG